rnacentral:rRNA from 1 species
AGAGUUUGAUCAUGGCUCAGGAUGAACGCUAGCGGCAGGCUUAAUACAUGCAAGUCGUGGGGCAGCAGGGGUGUAGCAAUACACUCGCUGGCGACCGGCAAACGGGUGCGGAACACGUACGCAACCUACCCAAAACUGGGGAAUAGCCCGGGGAAACCCGGAUUAAUACCUCGUAACACCAUGAAGUGGCAUCACUAUAUGGUUAUAGCUCCGGCGGUUUUGGAUGGGCGUGCGCCUGAUUAGGUAGUUGGCGGGGUAACGGCCCACCAAGCCAGCGAUCAGUAACUGGUGUGAGAGCACGACCAGUCACACGGGCACUGAGACACGGGCCCGACUCCUACGGGAGGCAGCAGUAAGGAAUAUUGGUCAAUGGACGCAAGUCUGAACCAGCCAUGCCGCGUGAAGGAUGAAGGUCCUCUGGAUUGUAAACUUCUUUUAUAUGGGACGAAACCCGGGAAUUCCUUCCCGAUUGACGGUACCAUAGGAAUAAGCACCGGCUAACUCCGUGCCAGCCGCCGCGGUAAUAC